GAAGAACCAUUGGGUUCCUGUAGAAGUCCCUGAAGCUGGGUCUGCAGGAUGUAGUUUCUGGGGAGUCAGGGCUCAAUCCUAGAGCAGAGAGACUUAGAUAUCCCAGAAGGGGCUGGGAACUGAGCCUAAAGGUUUGGCCUGGUACGUUUCAUGAAACAGAACAGAUCCUCCCACACACACACUCACUCACUCACCCCCCAUCUCUCUCUCUCUCUCUCUCUCAGUAUUUCCUGAGAGCAGGAGGGAGAGCAGACCAUGAAAUGUUGAGCCACUCGCACAAGAGGGUUUGAUCACAUGCAGGGGACCUUCAGAAGACAGAAUUAGGGAUGGGAUAACAGCUUAGCACAGGAUCACCACCAUCCUCAGUCUUCUGGCUUUUGAUUUAGCAGCACAAAGAUGUUUUAUGAUAGCAUACUCUCACCAACAUCUGCUUCACUUUUUUUUUCACUGCCAUCUUUAGCACCAUCCAACUAAACUCUCUCCUUCAAAGGAACCGUAAUAAGAAUAAACACCAACAUGGGCCACAAUCUUACACUCUUCCUUUGGUAUGCGUGAGCAACUUGCUCUCACUACUGGAAUCAGCUUGUGAGGCAGAUGUUAAUUCUCUGCACAGUAGAAAGCCUCAGCCUUGGAAAGUGGCAAAGUUAACAAGAGUAAAA